UAUUUACGUAAAUAGAACAGGCUAUCAGAUGUCAAGGCAUUAAGGAGAAUAACGGGGGAAAUGGAAAGAUGCAAAGCGUUGAGGAUAUGUUGGAGAAAGAGGUAGAAAGGCUGAGCCAAGCAAAUCUCACAGAAAAAGUAGCUUUUUUGUGACUGUUAUUGUUGUUCUAGAGUACUAGAGAUCGAACCCUCAUCUGUGUGAGGCGUGUGCUCACAUGCAAGCCUGAUUUUUGGGCCACAUCAGCAGUGCUCAGGGCUUUCUCUUGGCUCUGUGCUCAGGGCUCACUCCUAGCGGUGCUCAGAGGACUGUAUGAGGUGUCAGGAUCAAACUGGGGCUGACUGCGUGCAUGGGUUAUUAUCCUCACAAGAAAUAUUAUUGUGAGUCCAAGGAAUUGCCUGCAAGCAACUAAAACAAGAACCGUUUAUCUGCCCAAUCCAAGUGCUGAUAUCAAAGAAUAUAAACGUGUGGAAGCGUUUAGAUGGACAGGCACGACAUGGAGAGUUCUGAAGACAGCCGGCGAUGCACAGGGAUUACUCCUGGCUCUUUACUCAGGAAUUACUCCUAGCGGUGCUCAGUGGACCACAUGGGAUGCUGAGAAUGGAACCCUCGUUGGCCGCGCGCAAGGCAAAUGCUCUACCUGCUGUACUAUG